rnacentral:rRNA from 1 species
CUUCCUUCUCUAAGGCUAAUUGCUUGCUGAAAAUAAGAAAACUAAGUGUGACCGAAAAUACGGCCCAUGGUUGAACACUUGAUCCAUGGUGAUUUGGAUCGAGCGUUCUCCCAUGUCGGUCACUUAUUCCAACGGGCCAAAGCCCUAGUGGACUUUGGCAAGGCAGACGACCGUGUCUCCAUGGGUUGUCGGAUCAUGAUCAUGGGGUGCCCGUUGGGCGCCGGGCGUGUCUAAGUCGGCCGUGUCAUGGGCCGGUGUGUCGGGGAGGGGCGUGUCGGGGCAGGGAGUGUCCUAGCCUGGCAUGUCCUGGCCGGGCAUUGUCGGACACCACGUGAUCUCCCUUAAGUCUUUCCUGAUCAUGUUAGGGCGGAAGUUCCAAAAUUAUAUUUCCUGUAAAAUAAGUAACUAAGUUAGUAAAAUCUCCCGUGCUCGUCGGGUCCGUGUCUGUGAUGUGCUCCGGUGUCACAUCAGAGCAUGAUUGUCGGGACCCAAAAGAUGGUGAACUAUGCCUGAGCAGGGAGAAGCCAAAGGAAACUCUCGUGGAGGCCCGCAGCAAUACUGACGUGCAAAUCGUUCGUCUGACUUGGGUAUAGGGGCGAAAGACUAAUCAAACCGUCUAGUAGCUGGUUCCCUUCAAAGUUUCCCUCAGGAUAGCUGGAGCCCAUGGGCAAGUUCUCUCGGGUAAAGCCAAUGAUUAGAGGCAUCGGGGGCACAACGCCCUCGACCUAUUCGCAAACUUUAAAUAGGUAGGACGGUGCGGCUGCUUUGUUGAGCGGCGCCCCAGAAUCAAGAGCUUCAAGUGGGCCAUUUUUGGUAAGCAGAACGGCGAUCCGAGAUGAACCAAAUGCCGGUUACGGUGCCCAACUAUGCGCUAACCUAGAACCCACAAAGGGUUUUGGUUGAUUAAGACAGCAGGACAGUUAUCAUGGAAGUCGAAAUCAGCUAAGGAGUGUGUAACAACUCACCUGCCGAAUCAACUAGCCUCGAAAAUGGAUGGCGCUGAAGCGCGCGACCUAUACCUGGCCGUCGGGGCAAGUACCAGGCCCUGAUGAGUAGGAAGGCACGGCGGUCAGCCCAAAAUUUUGUGGUAGUAGCAAAAUUUGAAGGCCGUCGGUGCAGCUCUUGGUGGUAGUAGCAAAUAUUCAAAUGACAACUUUGAAGGCCGGAGAGGGGAAAUGUUCCAUGUAAACAACACUUGCACAUGAGUUAGUCGAUCCUUAGAGACAUGGAAAUCCCGUCUAAACGCGCCCAGUGCGCGAGCAUCAAAAGGGAAUCGGGUUAAAAUUCUUGAACCGGGACGUGGUGGCUGACGGCAACGUUAGGGAGUCUGGAGAUGUCGUCAGGGACCUCGGGAAGAGUUAUCUUUUCUGUUUAACAGCCUGCCCACCCUAGAAAUGGCUCAGUCGAAGGUAGGGUCGAGCGGCUGGAAGAGCACCGCACGUCGCGCGGUGUCUGUUACGUUUUUGACGGCCCUUGAAAAUUUGGAGGACCGAGUGCCUCCCACACCCGGUCGUACUCAUAACCGCAUCAGGUCUCCAAGGUGAACAACUUCUGGUCGAUGGAACAAUGUAGGUAAGGGAAGUCGGCAAAAUGGAUCUGUAACCUCAGGAAAAUGAUUGGCUCUGAGGGCUGGGCACGAGGGUCCCCGUCCCGAAUCCGUCAGCUGUCGAUGGACUACUCGAGCUGCUCUCGCGGGUCGUGGCGUGCCGGCCGGGGGAUGGACUGGGAGCUGCUCCUUCGGGGGCCUUCAUUGGGCAUCAAAGAUUCGACUUAGAACUAGUACGAACAAGGGGAAUCUGACUAUUUAAUUAAAACAAAGCAUUGUGAUGGUCCUUCCGAAUGCUCACGCAAUGUGAUUUCUGCCCAGUGCUCUGAAUGUCAAAGUGUAGAAAUUCAACCAAGCGCGGGUAAACGGCGGGAGUAACUAUGACUCUCUUAAGGUAGCAAAAUGCCUCGUCAUCUAAUUAGUGACGCGCAUGAAUGGAUUAACGAGAUUCUCACUGUAACUGUCUACUAUCCAGCAAAACCACAGCCAAGGGUAUGGGCUGAUGGAUCGAGUUUAACCUAAGUGGGGGGUGAAUUAAGUUAACUAAACAUUUUCGAUUACUAAGUCAAGUUCGUGCGAAUUGUUUAGUUAUUUCUAAACUCUAGUACGGAAUACAUAAACAAAUAAAUAAGAGUUUAGAGAAAAAGAAUGACACAGGAUUAGUAACGCGGUUCGGCCAACCUUGCCUACGUCCGCGCUUCAAGGGAACUCCUUGAAGAUUUUUCCAGCUCAAACCUUGAGCUUCACUUCGAUUGACUUGCGGGUGUCAAUCAAACCUUUGACUCUUUUCUUGAAGGAGUGUCACCCCUUUUACAAUGACUCUUUUCUUGAAGGAGUGUCACCCCUUUUACAAUGACUCUUUUCUUGAAAGAGCGUCACCCCUUUUACAAUAAUCGCUUAAAGAACGAGUUACAAUUUGUACGGUUUCUAAACCGACUCUCUCGAUCACAAGAAUGAUGAUCAAAGAUGAAUACAAUGAUGAGAGAGUAAAAGAGAUAUUUAAAGCCAACACGGGCUUGGCAGAAUCAGCGGGGAAAGAAGACCAUGUUAAGCUUGACUCUAGUCUGACUCUGUGAAAUGACUUGAGAAGUGUAGG